AACAAAAUAGUUUAUUCAGUUAAACUGACGAACAGACUGACGAACGUACCUAACAACAUUUACAAAUUAAAUACAGUAAUAAUAUCAAAAGACUUCAUUAUAUCAAGUCGUGUAUGAACAAAUAUUUUAAAACUAAUUCGAACCUUAGUUGAUUACAGUAGUAUUUGUACUUAUAUAAUAAUAUUACUGUGAAAAUAUUUGUGUUUGUGAUGUUUAUUAUACAGCCCGAUACAUUUUAAAAGACUGCAGUCGACUAGCUAAAUAAUUUGUCUGAAAUCGCAUAAAAAUGAUUGAAAAGCAAUCAAAUAACUGCAGUCUGAUAAAAAAUGAUACCCAAGGCACAGUACACUUUCUCUGUUGAUUUCAGUAUAGUUUAAUAAUAAAGACAAUGGGUGUCGAAUAUUUUUAUUUUUAUGAUAGGAUUUUUAAUUUCACAAAAAUUUCGUUAACAGAUUGUUCACAUUUUUUGAAUGCUAUAAACACAGCAGGGUUGUGAAUAAUUUAAACCGUUAAAAGCCAUU